UUGAACGCUGGCGGCAGGCCUAACACAUGCAAGUCGAGCGGAUGAAGGGAGCCUGCUCCUGGAUUCAGCGGCGGACGGGUGAGUAAUGCCUAGGAAUCUGCCUGGUAGUGGGGGAUAACGUCCGGAAACGGGCGCUAAUACCGCAUACGUCCUGAGGGAGAAAGUGGGGGAUCUUCGGACCUCACGCUAUCAGAUGAGCCUAGGUCGGAUUAGCUAGUUGGUGGGGUAAAGGCCUACCAAGGCGACGAUCCGUAACUGGUCUGAGAGGAUGAUCAGUCACACUGGAACUGAGACACGGUCCAGACUCCUACGGGAGGCAGCAGUGGGGAAUAUUGGACAAUGGGCGAAAGCCUGAUCCAGCCAUGCCGCGUGUGUGAAGAAGGUCUUCGGAUUGUAAAGCACUUUAAGUUGGGAGGAAGGGCAGUAAGUUAAUACCUUGCUGUUUUGACGUUACCAACAGAAUAAGCACCGGCUAACUUCGUG
rnacentral:rRNA from 1 species